UACGUAGGCAGCAAGCGUUGUUCGGAGUUACUGGGCGUAAAGAGUGCGUAGGCGGUGUCGCAAGUUCUGUGUGAAAUCUCCCGGCUUAACUGGGAGGGUGCGCCGAAAACUGCGAUGCUGGAGUGUGGGAAAGGCAAGCGGAAUUCCUGGUGUAGCGGUGAAAUUCGUAGAUAUCGGGAGGAACACCGGCGGCGAAGGCGGCGAUCUGGGUCGAUACUGACGCUGAGGUGCGAAAGCGUGGGGAGCGAACAGG
rnacentral:rRNA from 1 species